CACCCUACCAAACUACACAACAGUAUCUCGUUUCUGCCUUGUAACCCGAUUGAUAUAUAUAUACGAGUUCCUACAUAUAUUACAUAUGCAAAAUUAUUAUAGACAUAGCAUAAACUUUUCUUCUCGUGUUAUGUUAGUGUAAUUAGAAUCGAAAUAUACACCGAGUCAGAUUUUAAUCGAAAACUUUCACUCACAGUAAUGAAGUCUUGAAAAUUUACAAAUGGUGGAUCAUCAAAGUGUACAAACCUUGCUGAAUGCUCAAGACAUUCAUUCUUCAAAACCAAAUUCAGAAGAAAAUGGAAAGAAGGGUACCAAUCCCAAUUGGCCUCGCAAAUAAUGGGAUGGUAGCCAUGUGAGCUGUGUCGGCCUUUCUGGCAUCAGCUAGCUGUACAUUCUGGGUCAACCACAAGGCAACAAAAUAAUUUUCUCAUUUGAGGCACAAAAUUAUAAUAAUACCUUCCAUUUCAUAUAUACACUACAAACAAUACAGCAGACAUUGCUAAAUGAAUAGAGCAGCUGACAAUAACAAUCAAAUUUAAUUUCAAGCCUGGGGGGAGAAUAACAUAGCCGAUCCAGGCGGGGUGUCAUUUCUACUUCCAACCCUUUUCACAAUUACCUUUUCAAGAUUCAAGCUUGCAAAAUUUUGUUUCAGGAUCUACUUGCCUUCCUUCUUCCACUAACGGCGGCUAGGCAGCCGAUGACACU
rnacentral:lncRNA from 1 species